rnacentral:rRNA from 1 species
UACGGAGGGGGCUAGCGUUGUUCGGAAUUACUGGGCGUAAAGCGCGCGUAGGCGGACCUGCAAGUCGGGGGUGAAAGCCCGAGGCUCAACCUCGGAACUGCCUUCGAUACUGCGGGUCUCGAGUCCGGGAGAGGUGAGUGGAAUUCCUAGUGUAGAGGUGAAAUUCGUAGAUAUCGAGAGGAACACCUGUGGCGAAGGCGGCCUUCUGGACGGUGACUGACGCUGAGACGCGAAAGCGUGGGGAGCAAACAGG